UCCUGGGCAAACAACGAAAAUUGCAUGAAGUGGCGCAAUUUCAUUCGACGACGUCGUCAGCACAGCAGCAGGGCAGCCACCGCGACGCUGCGUAAAUGUUCGCUCGUCUCCAUUGAACUCAAUCCCUCUACGGGACUUUCUGCAAUUUCGUGUUCUGCGAUUCAGGUCGUGAUCAUGAGUUUUGGAUUUGAUUAGGGGUUCGGGGUUCAUUUUGAAUUAGUAGAUGCAGAAUUUGACUCGCCCUAUUGGAGGUCCGCUACUUCAUUUGGGUGAUUUUGUUUCGGCAUUGAAAUUCGUACGCUGGGAUUUUGAGGAUGGAUAGCAACAAAGACGAAGCGUUGAGGUGUGUAGGAUUUGCCGAGAAGGCGAUCGCCGCGGGCAACAAAGAGCGUGCCCUUAGGUUUAUCAAAAUUGCGCGGCGCUUGGACCGUAAUUUGCCCGUUGCUGAGCUCUUGGACCAAUGUGACAAGCUCAAUUUUGGUUCAGAGGAGACUUCCACUGAAUGUGAUGAGAGUAAUAAGGAGCCUGGUUCUGGUAAAUAUGAUGAAGCAUCAAAUGCUGGGAAAAAGAAGUUCAGUGAAGAACAUGUUCAACUAAUUGGGCGGAUUAAGAGAACGAGGGAUUAUUAUGCACUUUUGGGAUUAGAGAAAGCUUGCUCCUUGGAGGAGAUUAAGAAGGCUUAUAGGAAAUUGUCGCUGAAAGUGCAUCCCGAUAAGAACAAGGCACCUGGUUCGGAGGAGGCAUUCAAGAAAGUGUCCAAAGCAUUUAAGUGCUUGAGCGAUGAUGGUUCGAGGAGAGAGUAUGAUCACACUGGUUUUGUCGAGGAAUUCGAGUAUAAUCAGCGGCAUAAUGCAAGGCAGAGGAGGAGAAGAGCAGGAAAUGAUUUGUUUGAUGAUGAUUUUGACCCGGAUGAGAUAUUUAGAGCCUUCUUCCGUCAGGGGCAGCCUUUCAGGACUUCUCAUGUUUAUAGGACAGGAGGAGCGGGUGGUUACCGGAGAGAGGACUCUGAUGUAGGAGGAUUUAGCCUAAUGGUUCUUUUGCAAGUGUUACCAUUUCUGAUCAUCCUUCUGCUCGCAUAUCUGCCCUUUACGGAGCCUGAGUACUCGCUGUUCAAGAAUUACACUUAUGAGGUCUCCAAGGCAACUGAAAAACAUGGAGUGGAAUUCUUUGUGAAAUCAUCUGCAUUUGAUAAUAGUUAUCCACCAGGAAGUCCUGCUCGAGCUAACAUUGAGGACAACGUGAUCAAGGAUUAUAAAAAUAUGCUUUGGCGUUACUGUCAUAUAGAAAUGCAAAGACGUCAGUGGAAUAAGAAUCUGCCAUCUCCUAAUUGCAAUAAGCUGCAUAACUUUGGCAUAGCAUGAAGAGUAUGAGAUUAAAUGGGAUGAAAUGACCAUGAACCUGUACUGGAUUAUUGCAGCUGCUUAAAGUAUAGAAUCCUUACCCAUGACCUUGCCAAACUCGAUAGAAUCCAUUGGGAAUAGUUGCCAAAGUUAUCGAUAUUUUAAGUGCUGAUAUUGUGGUAUAUGUGUAAUGUAGAAGUGUCCCCUGUUAACGAAAUGUCUUUCAUGAGUGAAGCAUGGACAAGAUAACCGUAGCUGCUGUGAUGUGGUUGUCUAUCAUGUCAUCGUCCUGCAGUUUGACCUUGAUGCAGGACGGUUGCAACUAGGGCGUUUAUAAGUGAGGUGGGUUUGUAAUUUGAAUCUUUCUGGGCUUCUUGUUAUUGAACGGUGAUUAUUUGGCUUCUGAUUAGGCACAGAGACCCCCCAGGCAAUACUCACGAUUUCACGAAGGAAAUAGAAGAUGUGGGGGCAUGAUACCUUUU